rnacentral:rRNA from 1 species
ACUCAAAGGAAUAGACGGGGACCCGCACAAGCAGCGGAGCAUGUGGUUUAAUUCGAAGAUACGCGAAGAACCUUACCAGGACUUGACAUUUAGUGACUGCCUGUGAAAGCAGGCUUCCCUUCGGGGCACUAGGACAGGUGGUGCAUGGUUGUCGUCAGCUCGUGUCGUGAGAUGUUCGGUUAAGUCCGGCAACGAGCGCAACCCCUAUGAUAUGUUGCCAAUAUUAAGUUAGGAACUCAUAUCAGACUGCCGUGGAUAACACGGAGGAAGGCGGGGAUGACGUCAAAUCAUCAUGCCCCUUACGUUCUGGGCUACACACGUGCUACAAUGGGCGCUACAAAGAGCUGCGAGACUGCAAAGUUAAGCGAAUCUCAUAAAAGCGUUCUCAGUUCGGAUUGAGGGCUGCAACUCGCCCUCAUGAAGUCGGAGUUGCUAGUAAUCCCGGAUCAGAAUGCCGGGGUGAAUGCGUUCCCGGGUCUUGUACACACCGCCCGU